rnacentral:misc_RNA from 1 species
UCAACCCUUAAGCCUCGCUGCUUAGCGUUAGGAGCUUACCGUCUUGUGCAGUAACUCUCUAAAAGUAGUGGCGGAGUCGGUUCUCACUCUAAGCGUAGUACUAUAUAUCUCGCUUUUGCAAUAGUAUCGUCCCUCGCCGUAAAACACCCCAACUUAUCAAGGUUAACCUCGGAUCAGGUAAAAAUACCCGCUAAACUUAA